GUGAGACAGUUCGGUCCCUAUCUGCCGUGGGUGUAGGAAUAUUGACAGGAUCUGUCCCUAGUACGAGAGGACCGGGAUGGACGUAUCUCUGGUGGACCUGUUGUGGCGCCAGCCGCAUAGCAGGGUAGCUAUAUACGGACGGGAUAACCGCUGAAGGCAUCUAAGCGGGAAACCCACCUGAAAACGAGUAUUCCCUAUCAGAGCCGUGGAAGACCACCACGUUGAUAGGCCGGGUGUGGAAGUGCGGCAACGCAUGCAGCUUACCGGUACUAAUAGCUCGAUCGACUUGAUCACUCCCAUUU
rnacentral:rRNA from 1 species